rnacentral:rRNA from 1 species
AUGACAGAUAUGACAAGGAGCAAGAAAGUCUCAGAUGGAUUGAUUGCUGGUUCGUCAAGCGGUAAAAGAAUAAAGGCCUCACCCUGCCAGCAAGAUUGUGUUCCGGGUGCAUCAACUUAUGCAAAUGGUCAGGCAAACGCAGAGGCCUCACCCUGCCAACAAGGUGGUACUGCUCAAACAGAGGAGUGUUCAGAGCCAAAUCUUCCAGAGGACAUCUGGCAUCAUAUACACUCCUUAAUGCCAUUGAAAGAUGCUGCCAGAGCCGCCUGCCUGUCGCGGUCCUUUCUGUCUUCCUGGAGAUGCCAUUCGAUCCUCAUUUUGAACUGGGAAGCAUUUGGGUUGGACGUAUAUGCGGAUUACAAGGAAACAGCUAGAGCUUUUAGAAACAAAAUUGACCACAUUCUGGAAAACCACUCGGGCACUGGCGUGAGAAUACUGAAACUUCGGUUUGUUCCAAAUGACAAAGCGAAGGACCGUGAUUAUAUCGACAAAUGGCUUCAUAAGGCUGUUAAACCAGGAAUUGAAGAACUCACCCUUACUAUUAUGGCUAUGAGCAACAAACGCAAAUACGAGUUCCCGUGCACACUUAUAUCAAAUGGGCUGGGAAACUCGCUCCGGUGUCUUUACCUUUCCGAUUGUUCCUUUCAUCCUAUGGCUGGGCACUGUGGCUUGAGUAGCCUGACAAAACUAGAGCUGUUAAGGGUGGGUAUUACAGGGGACGAGCUAAGCUGCCUUGUUUCCAGUUCUGCAGCUUUAGAGCAGGUUUUACUCAGGGAUUGCAGUAAGGUAGACUGCUUGAGGAUACCUUGCCAUCUUGAGCGGUUAAGCCACUUGAAGGUGUUACGUUGCAGCGAGCUGCGGUUGAUAGAGAGCAGAGCUCCAAAUCUCUCCAGUUUUCAGUUUAAGGUAACCUCAAAGUUCGAGUCUCACUCGGAGAAGCAUUGCAAGUGA